rnacentral:rRNA from 2 species
UACGGAGGAUGCGAGCGUUAUCCGGAUUUAUUGGGUUUAAAGGGUGCGCAGGCGGCGUGCCAAGUCAGCGGUAAAAAUGCGGUGCUCAACGCCGUAUAGCCGUUGAAACUGACAUGCUAGAGUGAGCGAGAAGUAUGCGGAAUGCGUGGUGUAGCGGUGAAAUGCAUAGAUAUCACGCAGAACCCCGAUUGCGAAGGCAGCAUACCGGCGCUCAACUGACGCUCAGGCACGAAAGUGCGGGGAUCAAACAGG